GCCCUCGUGGCGGAAUUGGUAGACGCACUAGACUUAGGAUCUAGCGCCAACGGCGUGUCAGUUCGAGUCUGACCGAGGGCA
rnacentral:tRNA from 1 species